UUUGCAGGAGAUAACAGAAACUGCCAUUCUCAGGCAACUGCAGAAGCUUCUGGAAAUAACUUUGACAUUAUUCCCAAUCUUUGUUACCAAGUAGAUGAUGGGUAGCUGAGAGCCUUCAGAACAGCAAGAUCUUUUCAUCCAGGCCUUGGGUAUGAACUGCCCACUGAAUGGUUUUGACAAUUAUGAGUAGUGUCAUCAUUCCCGAGAGUUAGAAUGCUGACAAUUCAACAGAGUUCUGCUUUGAAUCUGCUUAAUGCCUGUCACUGAAAUCCUCAUGCAGACACACAAGUA